CCUCGCCACUGUCUCUUCAGACACUGGCGGGUGAAGGGCCCUGUUCCCCUUUCUUUGUCCCAUUUAGGAGCCUGGGGAUGGACAACAAUUUUCCAGAUUGAGAGUUGCCCUUCCUGAAGGAAAGGAUGUGAGGCAAUCUCCCUCCCUCCUGCACCCUUCCGUGCCUAUCCUCUUCUGGGCAUUGAAUCAGAGAGUUCCCUGAAAUCUGUGUGGACCUAACCCUGAAUGGAGGACCCAGAGAAGAGGCCUAUGGCUUUCUGGGAAGGAGCCACUGGGUGAGUCUCAUCCACUCCUACUCCUCCCUCUCCAAUCUAUUCCUUUUGACUCCAGAGCCAAGCCCACUGAGAGGCUUGGAGUACCUUGGGGAAAACGUGUAGCCCAGACCCAGCUCACCUCAGCCCCUGGCCCAGACCCACACCCUGUUCCCCUCCCCCAGGCAGGGGCCCUGGGAUGGGCAGCUUCCUGCCUUCCCCAUGGGGAAAGCGGGGGUGGCAUGCAGGUGGGCGGGCCCCGUGCCCACAUCCGGUGGCUGCCAGAAACUCUCCUGGAGCCUCUUUCCCUCCACUCCUCCAAGCCCAGUGGGACCCAUGCCCUGCCUUAGACCCUGGUCCUUACCACGGUUCUGCCCUGCCCUCCUAUCCCUACAGGCCCUGAGGGAAGCAUGAACACCCAGUCUAGUGUCAACAGGCCCACCUGGCCCAAGUGUGACCCACCCCCAUACCGUGCUGAGGGCACAGGCCUGGUCUCCUGCCAGCUGGGGCUGGGGGAGGGGUGACUUUGUAGGGUGCUGAGGGCAACUGACUACAUGGAGGGUACUGUGAUGUGCUGGCCCAGACCCCCCUUAUUCAUCUCUAUCUCUGUGGCCUCUCUGGGCAGCACAUAUUGAGGAGCCACGGCUUGGUCUGAAUGCCACUGCUAUCCCGAAGGGAAAGGAGUUUUCUAGGCUGGGGUCGGUGGACGUGGGGCUCAGAGAAAAAGUCCUUUUCUUGUACUGGAAUUCACUCACUGAAGGCCCCGACAGGGAGCCCUUGUCUCCUGGGGUCACUCAGUGCCUUGAGUCAAUCCCAGACUCUUGAACCAUUCCCUGGAGCUGGUGCCGUGGGGGAGGAGCAAGCCUGGGGUCCCGGAAGCCACCUGCCCAGGGCGUGUGAGAUGGUCUCUUCAGCCCCACUCCCGCCAAUACCCAGCCUUGUCUCUGGUUUCCUGUCAGUCUGUCCUCCCUAGGGAGGGGAGGGGCGCGCUAAUCUCCGCUGUGGUGUGGGGGCGGGCUCCAAGACCGUUGGGCGCCCUGAGAUCUGGCCCACGUGGCCUCGGGGUUAUAAGCCCUGCCCGCCCUGAAGGGAACCCCACUUGAGAGCCUGGAGCACAGGACUUGCUCCCUUCAGCCCUGCAGCAUCAGAUCUACCGGCCUUCAUGGUGGGACAGCUCCUCAAAAUCCUGGGCCUUGACUUCCCUCUAGACAAGGAAGGUAAAAUGGCUCCUGGGCCCCAGAUGAAGAAAGAGGGGUCCAAGGCUUCAAGAGACAAGGCGUCAUCGCUGGGCUGGGGAACGGCAGAGGGUGGGCACAGGCUGAAAAGUGAGACUCGUGUGAGCAGAGGCGCUAAGCGUCUCCCUCCACCCAACAUGGCUACCCUCUGCGUUGCAAUAGCCUUAGGCUCCUGCCUGAGGAGCUCUGGGCAGUGAGGGAGUCAAGGCUUUGGGCUGGUGAGGAGCCUGGGGAUGGAGGCCUUGUGCGGAAGGAGGCUGUGGCUGCCUCAUUUGGACUCUAGAGGGCAAGUAUUGUGGCUGGGGGGGGGUCACUCGAGGGGUCAGAAAUGGGGACUGUGGUGAGGCCUCCAGAAUGGCCAUGGUCUCUACCUGAGUACCCCUGAAAGUUGGGGGGAUGGGGUGGAGCCCUAGGGGGAAGGGAAGAGGGAACCAAAGAGGAAGUGGGGGGAGGGAGGUAGAGGAGGCAAGUCUGGCGCCAUGCUGAGUCACCGCCCACAAGGCCCAGGGCGGGCCCUCUGGGGGCCACGGGGCAGGGUGUUGGGGUCUUGGGAAGCCAUGAGGAGGGCUGGGGGGCUCUUGAAACAGGAGUCAGGAGGAGGAGCGGGCGGCCUGAAGAGUACCUGCAGAUGGACAGACAGACAGUGCAGUCACCCAUAAAGUAGAAAGCACUACUAACAGCACUGGAGGGUGUAGUGUUUCCUACUUUAUGGAUGAGUGUACUGUGGGCUUCGGAGACCACGCCGCUGCCGCCUGCCACCGUCUUCCUCCACGCUCAGGACCGUGCGUGACAGGUGAGCCCCUCAGGCAUCCUCCCCACCCUGCUCAGACCCCUGAAAGGCCCUCACUGCCCACCACGGUGCUGUCCCUCCUGGUUCCGGCCAACCAGGGAAAUGCCACAUCAGCUCCUCUGCUGCCUCGAGGUCUGGGAGGGCUGGACAUCUGGACCUGAUGCAGCUGCGGAGAGGCCCCGGCAUGGGGGCCCAGACGCCAGUGGACAGAUGCCAGGACAAAGAAGAGGAGGGAAAGGAGGGUAGAUGGAAGGGAAUGGGGUGCCAGGGACUCCAACACUAAUAAACAAUGGACUCUGCUUCUC